rnacentral:rRNA from 1 species
AAACAUAGCCCCUUGAAUAUAUAAAGGGUAAAGCCUGCCCAAUGGAAAUAAUCUAAAUGGCCGCGGUAUCUUAACCGUGCAAAGGUAGCAUAAUCAUUUGUCUCUUAAAUAGAGACUUGUAUGAACGGCACAACAUUUUCUUACUGUCUCCUCUCUCCUACUUAUAAAUUUCUACUAACGUGAAGAAGCGUUACUAAAAAAGAAAGACGAGAAGACCCUGUCGAGCUUAAGCCUCUUAAAGAGACCAAAUUCUUUUAAGAUUAAAUUAUCUUUAUAGCGGCAUUGGUUGGGGCAACCAUUGAGAAAAUUUAUCCUCAAGAAAAUAAAAAGAUUCUAAAUCACUUUAAUUAUAAAGAACCAUCAACAAUGGCAAACAGAAAAAGUUACCGCAGGGAUAACAGCGUUAUCUCCUUUAAGAGUUCACAUUGACAAGGAGGAUUGCGACCUCGAUGUUGGAUUGGGGCUACCUAAGGGUGCA